rnacentral:rRNA from 1 species
GACGAACGCUGGCGGCGUGCUUAACACAUGCAAGUCGAACGGUAAGGCCCUUCGGGGUACCCGAGUGGCGAACGGGUGAGUAACACGUGGGUGAUCUGCCCUGCACUUUGGGAUAAGCCUGGGAAACUGGGUCUAAUACCGAAUAUGACUACAGGCUGCAUGGCCUGUGGUGGAAAGCUUUUGCGGUGUGGGAUGGGCCCGCGGCCUACGAGCUUGUUGGUGGGGUGAUGGCCUACCAAGGCGACGACGGGUAGCCGGCCGGAGAGGGUGACCGGCCACACUGGUCCUGAGAUACGGCCCAGACUCCUACGGGAGGCAGCAGUGGGGAAUAUUGCACAAUGGGCGCAAGCCUGAUGCAGCGACGCCGCGUGUGGGACGACGGCCUUCGGGUUGUAAACCUCUUUCAGCACAGACGAAGCGGAAGUGACGGUAUGUGCAGAAGAAGGACCGGCCAACUACGUG